rnacentral:rRNA from 1 species
UACAGAGGGGGGCAAGCGUUUGUUCGGAAUUACUGGGCGUAAAGGGCGCGUAGGCGGCCUUCUAAGUCGAACGUGAAAUCCCCGGGCUCAACCCGGGAACUGCGUCCGAUACUGGAAGGCUUGAAUCCGGGGAGAGGGAUGCGGAAUUCCAGGUGUAGCGGUGAAAUGCGUAGAUAUCUGGAGGAACACCGGUGGCGAAGGCGGCAUCCUGGACCGGUAUUGACGCUGAGGCGCGAAAGCCAGGGGAGCAAAGCGGG